UUCAUCUCUAUCAGCAAGGAUUUAGUCGAGGUAAUAAAUACUUGCAAUUUACCCAAGCCAAGCAUGCUAUAGAGGCAGCUUACAUUAAUGCAAUGUCAUGAAUUUUCGUUCAGCAAAACAAAUCAUCAAGUGUAAAAUUAUACACAAAUGGAAUUGGUUUUAAUAUGGUCUUCUGGUGUUUCGAAAUUAUUUUAUGAUAUAAA
rnacentral:lncRNA from 1 species